rnacentral:rRNA from 1 species
UACGUAGGGUGCAAGCGUUUGUCCGGAAUUAUUGGGCGUAAAGAGCUCGUAGGCGGUCUGUCGCGUCGGAUGUGAAAAUCCAGGGCUCAACCCUGGACCUGCAUUCGAUACGGGCAGACUAGAGUUCGGUAGGGGAGACUGGAAUUCCUGGUGUAGCGGUGAAAUGCGCAGAUAUCAGGAGGAACACCGGUGGCGAAGGCGGGUCUCUGGGCCGAUACUGACGCUGAGGCGCGAGAGCGUGGGGAGCAAACAGG